rnacentral:rRNA from 1 species
UGAGGAAUAUUGGUCAAUGGGCGGAAGCCUGAACCAGCCAUCCCGCGUGAAGGAGGAAGGCCUUAUGGGUUGUAAACUUCUUUUCUGUUUGAAGAAUAAGCUUGUCGAGACAAGUGAUGCCGGUAGGACAGGAAUAAGCAUCGGCUAACUCCGUGCCAGCAGCCGCGGUAAUACGGAGGAUGCAAGCGUUAUCCGGAUUUAUUGGGUUUAAAGGGUGCGCAGGUGGUUUAAUAAGUCAGUGGUGAAAGUCUGCCGCUUAACGGUAGGAUUGCCUUUGAUACUGUUGGGCUUGAAUAUGGAUGAGGUAGGCGGAAUGUGUAGUGUAGCGGUGAAAUGCUUAGAUAUUACACAGAACACCGAUUGCGAAGGCAGCUUACUAAUCCAUGAUUGACGCUGAGGCACGAAAGCGUGGGGAUCAAACAG